rnacentral:misc_RNA from 1 species
GUUCUCCCCAUCCCUCUCUGGGUGCUUCUGCAUUCAGAGCGAUAUAAUGCUCUUGAGAGCUUCCUGGGCGUAGAUAGUUACGCCGGGCGUCGCCAUCAGAAAAACAGCAGAGCUACGCUUUGCAUGGGAGGCGGCGCGGAUGGUUGGUCUUUCAAUACGAGGAAAGGCUGUUGAGUGCAAUUUGCGGCCUUUGGCA